AGUGAACGCUGGCGGUAGGCCUAACACAUGCAAGUCGAACGGCAGCACAGUAAGAGCUUGCUCUUACGGGUGGCGAGUGGCGGACGGGUGAGGAAUACAUCGGAAUCUACUUUUUCGUGGGGGAUAACGUAGGGAAACUUACGCUAAUACCGCAUAUGACCUACGGGUGAAAGCAGGGGAUCUUCGGACUUUGCGCGAUUGAAUGAGCCGAUGUCGGAUUAGCUAGUUGGCGGGGUAAAGGCCCACCAAGGCGACGAUCCGUAGCUGGUCUGAGAGGAUGAUCAGCCACACUGGAACUGAGACACGGUCCAGACUCCUACGGGAGGCAGCAGUGGGGAAUAUUGGACAAUGGGCGCAAGCCUGAUCCAGCCAUGCCGCGUGGGUGAAGAAGGCCUUCGGGUUGUAAAGCCCUUUUGUUGGGAAAGAAAAGCAGCAGGUUAAUACCCCGCUGUUCUGACGGUACCCAAAGAAUAAGCACCGGCUAACUUCGUG
rnacentral:rRNA from 1 species